rnacentral:snRNA from 12 species
CUCCUUACCCAGGAGGGAAGACUGAGAUCAAUAACAUGACCUUCCUGGGUAAGGAUAUUAUUUGAAUUCCAGGUGUGCUGACUCUUGGGAUUCACCUAAAUGUGGAGAAGCUGACUGCACAAUUUGUAGUGAAAACUGAAUUUACACCUUUGAA